rnacentral:rRNA from 1 species
CCUUGCCAGCCCGCUCAGAAACUCAAAUGAAUUGACGGGGGCCCGCACAAGCGGCGGAGCAUGUGGAUUAAUUCGAUGCAACGCGAAGAACCUUACCUGGGCUUGACAUACACCGGAAAACCGUAGAGAUACGGUCCCCCUUGUGGUCGGUGUACAGGUGGUGCAUGGCUGUCGUCAGCUCGUGUCGUGAGAUGUUGGGUUAAGUCCCGCAACGAGCGCAACCCUUUGUCUUAUGUUGCCAGCACGUGAUGGUGGGGACUCGUAAGAGACUGCCGGGGUCAACUCGGAGGAAGGUGGGGACGACGUCAAGUCAUCAUGGCCCUUAUGUCCUGGGCUACACACGUGCUACAAUGGCCGGUACAGAGCGCAGCGAGGCCGCGAGGCGGAGCGAAUCGCUUAAAGCCGGUCCCAGUACGGAUUGGAGUCUGCAACCCGACUCCAUGAAGUUGGAAUCGCUAGUAAUCGCGCAUCAGCAUGGCGCGGUGAAUACGUUCCCGGGCCUU